AGUGUUCAUUGUGUGUGACUGGAUUCGAACCUCCAGAUUUUCAAGUCACUAAUCACAUAACUCUACUAACUAAAUUAUCACACUUGUACGAUUCAUGUUCACACUUUAAACCUGUUUUGACACAGGCACAUUCAAAUCAGUAAUGUACAUAUUCAUGUGCUUGUUUACAAUAGCCCCAUGGCUUCUUUAAUGUUCACCACAAUGUGCUUAGAUAGGACAACACAACCACCAUCAACUUGUUCGAAUGAAAACAAGAGCUACCAAACACACAAGGCUACACAUUUUCACGGAAAACAUGGCUUCUUGCAAUGUUUCCAUUUCUUUAACUAUAAACGUUGGAUUCUCCCAUGUUUCCAACAACAGUUCAAAACAAACUUCCCAGCAGUCUCCAUUGAAGUACCCCACACCCUGGAAGGUAUCCCUGCAAGAACAGCAUUGAAAUUUCACCAACAGAAGAGACCUCUGACCCACUUAUCUUCUGACUAGUGCUUAACACACAUUCACCCAACAGUGUUCUUAAUGUUGGUGGUCUUUGGAUGGCUCAAACGGCAUAUAAGCAAUGGCAAGAUUCAGAGAACAUUACUUUAGUGAAUGCUGAUCCGGCGCCUGAUCCAUUCAUACCACUCUUCGCAGAGAUACUGUACAGAUAACAGUGAAUAGCAAUUGCUGCUUGACUAUCACACUGGAAGCAAUUUUACAAUAGACUAUCGUCUCUCCUUGCAAUCUUCAGAGUCUAUCUUGAUAAUGAGCGGCUGGUUCAGAUCACUGGAAGGAUCCACCACUGUUGGCAACUCUGGCGAGUCCAUAUAUGCAUCUAUGCCAUCAGUUUCGGCCAAAACUUUAUCCAGAGCAGACUUGGCAACUUUUCGUGACCACGAUCAUUAGCCGCACUGCAUAAGCGGAAAAUCCAGGAGAUAAGGACUCGUGAUAGAUCUCAUGUUUCAGAUUUCAAAAUUCAUGCAAUUAGGAUCACAAUGAAGCUAAUUGUAACUUACCGGAUACAAUGAAGCUUAUGCAAUCAUCAUCUGCAUAUUAGAGCCAGCAGUUUGACUCAUUAUCACCAGUACAAGAUUAACCACAGAAGAUCGGAAAGAGAGAUGUAAACAGAUACUGGAGGUUUCAUUACCCAACGAGUUGGUGAAAACACACUCCAACCAUGCGUUACAUCAGAGAGAUCCUUGAGAGUGGUUCCAACAUAGACUAAUGCAAGUAUUAUUGGCUGCGAUUUUAAACUCGUUAGUCCCACAGGAAGCGAAGAUUGAAAACAAGCAUUGACUUUUUAGAACCAAAUAGUGAAACUAGAGCGUUGUUGCUGUUUUUUACUUUUUCAGAGGUAAAAAUGAGCUCAAAACUAGUUAGGUUGAACCAAUUUUUCCAAGGUUGAUAUGUUAGAGUCCAAGUCAUAUGAGGUUAUAUUGAAUUUAUGAGAGGAAGCUUUUCAAUAGUAUUAUGAUAUAUGGGAUUACAUAAGGGGUACAUGGGUUUAUAUAGAGUUAGGAUAGGAGAAUCCUUCCUCAACUAGGAAAACUCUUAUUACUAUUCCUAUACUAAUAAGGAAAAAUAUUGAAACUUAUUCCUAUACUAAUAAGGAAAAUAUAAUAUUUUUCAACACUCCCCCUCAAGCUUGGUGUAGAUGUUAAUUAACCCAAGCUUGGACAGUAAGUGGUCAAACACAUCUUUUGAAAGAGGCUUCGUAAAAACAUCUGCAGUCUGUUGCUUCGUAGGAACAUAUUCCACUCGAACCACACCAGAACUAACAUUUUCAGUUAUAAAAUGACGAUCUACCUCCACAUGUUUAGUUCGAUCAUGAUGAACAGGGUUGCGGACUAUGCUGAUUGCUGCUUGACUAUCACACAGAAACUGGAUAGGACCAUCGAUCUCAAUCUUCAGCUCAUUCAUGAUGCGCUUCAACCAGAUACUCUCACAUAUUCCAAGUGCGAGAGCUCGGUACUCAGCCUCUGCACUGCUUCUAGCCACAACCUUUUGUUUCUUACUUCGCCAUGUCACAAGAUUUCCCCAGACAUAACUACAAUAACCAGUUGUAGACCUUCGAUCUGUGAGUUCACCAGCCCAACUUGCAUCAGUAUAGACAGUAAUUCCCCGUUGAGCAGUUCUCUUGAAAUAGAUUCCCUUUCCAGGUGAACUCUUCAAGUACCUUAGGAUUCUGUAAACCAUUCCCAUAUGUUCUUCAUUAGGACAGUGCAUGUGCUGGCUGACAAUCCCAACUGCAAAAGCUAUAUCGGGUCGAGUGUGAGCUAAAUAAAUCAGUUUCCCAACCAAUCGUUGAUACCGACCUUUUUCAACUGCAGGAAUAUCCUCCUCCCUGCUAAGAGUUUUAUUCGACUCCAUGGGAGUGUCGAUAGGCUUACAGUCAAGCAUUCCCACUUCCUUUAGUAAGUCCAAAACAUAUUUUCGUUGAGAGAUUACGAUACCUUUCUGAGAUCUCGAAACUUCCAUUCCUAGGAAGUAUUUAAGGUUUCCCAAGUCUUUGAGUUCGAACUCUUUUGCCAGUUGAUCCUUGAGUCUCUUAAUUUCUUCUACAUCGUCUCCAGUGAUUAUAAUAUCAUCCACGUACACAAUGAGGAUGGAGAUCUUCCCUGUAGGUGAGUGCUUCACAAAUAAGGUGUGAUCGGUCUGACAUUGGUAGUAUCCUCCUUGCUUCACAGCCUUGGUAAAUCUGUCAAACCAGGCUCGGGGAGAUUGUUUCAACCCGUACAAGGCCUUGCGAAGCUUACAAACUUCCCCUUCUCUCGGAUUUUUCACUCCCGGAGGAAACACCAUAUAGACCUCUUCUUCAAGUUCUCCGUUAAGAAAGGCAUUCUUCACAUCAAGUUGAUGUAACGGCCAGUCCAGGUUUGCUGCCAGAGAAAACAACACCCUUAUACUGUUGAGCUUUGCCACUGGUGCAAAGGUUUCAUCAUAAUCCACGCCGUAUGCUUGGGUGAAACCUCUAGCCACCAGCCUAGCUUUAUAUCUUUCAAUCGAUCCGUCUGCUCUAUAUUUAAUGGUGAAGAUCCACUUACAAUCAACUGUGUUCUUUCCAUUCGGAAGGGAGACAAUGUCCCACGUAUUAUUUUUCUCCAAAGCUCGUAACUCCUCCAUGACAGCACUUCUCCAUUUUGGAUGUUUCAUAGCUUCUUCAAUAUUCUUAGGUAUUUGUUCCUCGUCAAGAGCAGAUAUAAAUGCUCUGUGAGAAUUGCUAAGACCAUCAUAGCUGAUUUGUCGAGCAAUCGGAUAUUUUGUGCAAUUUCUUAUACCUUUCCUUAGAGCAAUAGGAACCUCUAGAUCACUCAAAUCAUCACCCUCUUCUUCAACAUCUUCAACUAUCACUUCUCGAUCAGCAUUCGUAACUCCCCCUCCACUAUUUUCUGUCUCAAGAGUAUCAUCUUCAAUCACAAUAUUCUUUCUUCUUUGAUAAACAAGAAGAGGUUUUUCUAAUGAUUCCGCUGAUGACAUUUGAGACUCCCCCUGACUUACAACAUCAGUUGGGAGCUCCCUCUGACUCACAACUUCGGAUGGAGUGUCCUCUUCCUCUAAACAAAUCGUAUCCACGAGGGUAUGACUGUCAUCAUUAUUUGUUUGCUCCCCCUGAAUCACAGUAGUAGGAAAGUAGGUCUGUGAUUCAAAAAAGGUAGCAUCCCGAGUGGUGUAAACUCGUUUGGUCGGAGGAUGGUAGCACCUAUAGCCCUUCUGGGUUAAAGAGUAGCCUAUAAACAUUGUUGAAGUAAUCGUGGGCAUUGUCAGUUUUCAGAACCUUGAUGUGAGUCUGAAAUUGGGUAGCUACCAUUUUGUGAAAUAGCUGAAAAAUCUGGACCGUUUCGGACUUUUCUUUCAUUAAGAAAGUCCACGUCAUCCUUGUGUGAUCAUCAAUAAAUGUUAUGAACCAACGAGCCCCAUUGAUGUUCUUGACUUUCAUAGGUCCCCAGAUAUCGCUAUGAACUACACUAAGAGGUGUGGUAGGUCGAUAGCCGAUUCUAGGAUAGGAAGAACGCGUAUGCUUCGCAAGUUGACACACAUCACAUCUCAAAUCCUUUGAACCUUUAUUCUGAAAUAGUGCAGGUAGCAACUUUUCAAGAUAAGUAAAACUGGGAUGACCAAGACGGAAGUGCCAUAACAUGGCUUCAUUCUCAAUGUGUUCAAUACUAGAAACAACAUUAGCACUAAUACUACUAUGGGCUUUACUGGAACUAGCCUCAUCCUGAGUUCCCUUCAACAAGUAGAGACCAUUACGCAUUUCACCACUUCCAAGCAUUUUCCCAGUCUUCACCUCCUGUAACACACAAUCGGGAGAGCGAAACUUAGCUUCACACUGAAGAUCAUGUGUUACUUGAUGAAUAGAGAGAAGAUUGCAGUCAAGUUUAGGCACAUAAAGUACUGGACAUAGAGUAAGAUCCUUAGUAACCCUAACAAUGCCUAUUCCUUCCACCGGUGCUAUUGAUCCAUCGGCAAUCCGGACACCUGAGGUUCUAGGGUAAGGUUUUAAGUGUUCUAUCAACUCCUUACAACCAGUCAUAUUGUCUGUAGCUCCGGAAUCAAGGAUCCAAAUAUUCUGAGAAUUUUGACUAGAAGUGUAAGCAGCCGAAGUACCUUUUUUGUCGAACAUACUAGACAUGUAAGAUUUCUUGGGGUCGGCUUUCUCAGUAUUCAUGAUUUGUGCAAACAUUUUCUUCAGAGUCUCCAACUGACCAGCUGAAAACUGUGUCGUAUCAUCAGUUUUGGUGGCAGCUGCGUUCGCACGAGACUUCUGCUUAUUCAAGUUCAGUCUGGGUCUCCAUCCUUGUGGUCCACCAACUAUUUCCCAGCACUCCUCUUUCGUAUGAAAGGGUCGUUGACAGAGAUCACACCAUUUUGAAGAGGCAGCAGAAGUAGGAUUCUGUUUCCCUUUGGCAUGGUUGUUCUUAACAAAGAGAGCUGUGGUUGAGGUCUCAGUUUUCAGGGCUGAACUGCUGGGUUCAGAGGUUGUCUUCGUCUCUGUAACCAUCAGAUGACGCCGACCUUCUUCUCUCAAAACCUCAGCAAACGCCUCCUUCAGACUUGGAAAGGGUUUCGUUCCCAUAACCCUGCUUUUCACAGCAUCUAGGUCUUGAUUUAGUCCAAGAAGCAGUUGAACUGUCCUCUUCUUGUCCAUGAAUGUCCGGAAUGUUUUUGCAUCAUUCGGAGUAUCCCACUUCUGAGCUUCAUACAAAUCAAGUUGAAGCCAGGUUCGGACCAGCCGAUUGUAGUACUCCGUUGCACUCAAGUUACCUUGCUUGAAAUUGUAGAGUUUGGACUCAAUUUCGAACAAAGCAGAUGAGUUGUCUUGCGUGGAGUAGGUUUCUUUCACAUCAUCCCAAAGCUCCUUUGCAGAUUGAUGUAGAAGAUAGUUGUCGCCGAUAUCUGGUUCCAUCGUGGAGAUGAGCCAGAACCGAACUUGAUUGUCAUCAUUGUCCCACUUGGUGAAGGCAGCUGAGUCGGAUUCUUCUGGUUUGCUUGCAAUACCAGUAAGAUAUUCCCCUUUCUGUUUCCCAGUGAUGAACAUCCGGACUGACUGAGACCAUUGGAGGUAGUUGUUACCAUUGAAUUUCCUAAUGGAAGCUCCUCCAGAGCCUGGUUCAGAUCCGAAAUUGUUGUUGUUGUUGUUGGCUGCCAUCUCAGUUUCGGAGAUGACAGAAGAAGGAUGAAUGGUGGAAGAAGACGAGUGUUUUGGAAAGGAAGAAGGUGAAACAAUCUUGUUGUCCGUGGUCAUGAUGAACCAACAGUGAGAUUAACACCGACGGCAGCGGAAGAUAUAGCCGGCGGCUCUGAUACCAUAUUGAAUUUAUGAGAGGAAGCUUUUCAAUAGUAUUAUGAUAUAUGGGAUUACAUAAGGGGUACAUGGGUUUAUAUAGAGUUAGGAUAGGAGAAUCCUUCCUCAACUAGGAAAACUCUUAUUACUAUUCCUAUACUAAUAAGGAAAAAUAUUGAAACUUAUUUCUAUACUAAUAAGGAAAAUAUAAUAUUUUUCAACAGGUUACAUAGCCACUUACCAUCAUCCCUAACCAGGAAGCAAUCAUAUACUCUGCAAAAACGGGAGUGACUGAAAGUAAAUAAUUCAACAUGUUAAAAGGGACCAAUGGAGCGAGUCGAAGCAACAGAACAAUCUGCAGUGAAAAAUACAAUUCCUUGAGGCAUUAGAUAAUACAUGCUUGAAUGAUGAAAUAAUCUUUAGAGAUGCUGUAAUAUUCGAGUGAUGACAGAUGCAUCAUUAUCAAAACGAACCUUGAAACCAGAUCUU
rnacentral:lncRNA from 1 species